rnacentral:rRNA from 1 species
AGGACGAACGCUGGCGGCGUGCUUAACACAUGCAAGUCGAGCGGUGAUCCUCCUUCGGGAGGUGAUCAGCGGCGAACGGGUGAGUAACACGUGGGCAACCUGCCCCCUCACACUGGGAUAACCUCGGGAAACCGGGGCUAAUACCGGAUACGACCUCGAGCGGCAUCUCUUGAGGUGGAAAGCUCCGACGGUGAGGGAUGGGCCCGCGGCCUAUCAGCUUGUUGGUGGGGUAAUGGCCUACCAAGGCGACGACGGGUA